GCAUAUCAAUAAGCGGAGGAAAAGAAACCAACAGGGAUUGCCUUAGUAACGGCGAGUGAAGCGGCAACAGCUCAAAUUUGAAAUCUGGCCCUUGGGUCCGAAUUGUAAUUUGUAGAGGAUGAUUUUGGUGCGGUAUCUUCCGAGUUCCUUGGAACAGGACGCCUUAGAGGGUGAGAGCCCCGUACGGUUGAAUGCCUAGCCUCUGUAAAUCUCCUUCGACGAGUCGAGUAGUUUGGGAAUGCUGCUCUAAAUGGGAGGUAAAUUUCUUCUAAAGCUAAAUAUUGGCCAGAGACCGAUAGCGCACAAGUAGAGUGAUCGAAAGAUGAAAAGCACUUUGAAAAGAGGGUUAAAUAGCACGUGAAAUUGUUGAAAGGGAAGGAUUUGUGACCAGACUUUUUCUGGGCGGAUCAUCCGGGGUUCUCUCCGGUGCACUUCGCCCAGUAAAGGCCAGCAUCGGUUUUCGGCGUGGGAUAAAAGCAGCAGGAAUGUGGCUCCCUACGGGGAGUGUUAUAGCCUGUUGUAUAAUACCGCGCUGGGGACCGAGGUUCGCGCUUCUGCAAGGAUGCUGGCGUAAUGGUUAUCAAUCACCCGUCUUGAAACACGGACCAAGGAGUCGAACAUUUGUGCAAGUGUUUGGGUGUUAAACCCUCACGCGUAAUGAAAGUGAACGUAGGUGAGAGCCCUUACGGGUGCAUCAUCGACCGAUCCUGAUGUCUUCGGAUGGAUUUGAGUAAGAGCAUAACUGUUCGGACCCGAAAGAUGGUGAACUAUGCGUGGAUAGGGUGAAGCCAGAGGAAACUCUGGUGGAGGCUCGCAGCGGUUCUGACGUGCAAAUCGAUCGUCAAAUCUGCGCAUGGGGGCGAAAGACUAAUCGAACCAUCUAGUAGCUGGUUACCGCCG
rnacentral:rRNA from 1 species